CCUACGGGAGGCAGCAGUGAGGAAUAUUGGUCAAUGGACGCAAGCCUGAACCAGCCAAGUAGCGUGAAGGAUGACUGCCCUACGGGUUGUAAACUUCUUUUAUACAGGAGUAAACUGAGGCACGUGUACCUGUUUGAAUGUACUUUAUGAAUAAGGAUCGGCUAACUCCGUGCCAGCAGCCGCGGUAAUACGGAGGAUCCGAGCGUUAUCCGGAUUUAUUGGGUUUAAAGGGAGCGUAGAUGGGUUGUUAAGUUAGUUGUGAAAGUUUGAGGCUCAACCUUAAAAUUGCAAUUGAUACUGGUAGGCUUGAGUACAGUUGAGGUAGGCGGAAUGCAUGGUGUAGCGGUGAAAUGCUUAGAGAUCACGAAGAACUCCGAUUGCGAAGGCAGCUUACUAAGCUGCCACUGACAUUGAUGCUCGAAAGCGUGGGUAGCAAACAGGAUUAGAUACCCGUGUAGUC
rnacentral:rRNA from 1 species